CAGUUAAGAGCCCUGGGUCUGGAGCAAAACUGCUGAGGUUUGAGGCCCCGUUUUGCUGCUCACUAGCUACAUGAUCUUGGGCAAGUUAUUUAAGCUCUCUGAGCUUCAGUUUCUUCCUCUGCAGAAUGGGGAUGAAAGUGGACUACUACCUCAUGGCAUGUUUUGAGGAUGAAAUGAGCUAAUAAACACAGUCUUCAGCCCUACAUUAGGAUGGCCUAAGGAAAACAAGAAGACUGAAUGAUAUUCCCUGCUGACUUAUAUAAGUUAUUAGUCUUCUAGAAGGAUCACAAGGAACCAGCAUCAAAGAAAUGGAAUCCAGCUAAUUCCCCCAAGAAACUGAAGUUUUCGGGACAUGACUUGUGAAAGGCAAACAUAAGCUGACAUCUUUUCACACUGAACAGCAAGAGCCAAAGUGUAUCCGAAAAGCCAUUGUCAAAACAAGGAGUGAGAACAGCUGGGGUCAAGACCUAAUGAAGGGCAUCACUCAGCCUCUUUGAGCCUCGGAUUCCUCAUUUGUAAAGUGGGCAUAAUAAUACCUCACAGGGUAGUUAUGAGGGCAAAUGAGAUAAUGGACACGAAGGCACCUGUACACUCCACGGUGCUAUCAGAAUAUUGACUAUUAGUGCUUUCAUCACGCGGCUCCAUCCAAACCCCUGCUUUCCCUCACUCCAGUGGUGCAAAGGAUCAGCACGGGAGUUUUGACCUGCUCCGUUUCCGACCUGGGUCGGUUCACCCCUCCUUAGGCAACCUGGCGGUUCCCCGCUCCAGGGAGGUCACCCUCUUGAUGCUGAAUUUAGCACGGACACCUGAUGGGCACAGUGCACUGCAGCCCAGAGCUCCUGAGCUCAAGCCAUCCUCCUGCCUCAGCCUCCAAGUAGCCAGGACCACAGGCACGCACCCUGAGGAGGAAGAAAUACCAGGUGCGCAUGCUCCAAGAAAAAGCCAUCUGAGGACGCGGCAAGAAGGCCGCCAUCUACAAGCCAAGGAGAGGGGCCUCAGGAGAAAUCGAACCUGUCACACCUUGAUCUUGGACUUCCAGCCUUCAGAACUGUGAGAAAGUAAAUUUCUGUGUUCAAGCUACCAGGUCUGUGGGAUUUUUUAUGGCAGCCCUAGCAGACUAAGACAGGCAUCAAUGGUUCCAAUGUUUUCAUUUUUUUUCCGGUAAGCAGACCGAAGCCCAGAGAGAUGAAGCAAUUUGCCCAAAGUCACAUACCAAGUUAACUGAAGAGUUGGGGUUAGAAUCCAGCUCUUGUGACUUCUCUCUUUUCAGUUUCCCUUCCCACUCCCCCCACUGAAAAGCUUUUGAGUGACUCUUUUAGAAAUCCCGGUUCUGUAUAUGAAGCAGAAUUGAGCACAGCUGCUCUAAUGAAGGGCUCAGAGCUCCCAGGCUUUUCUCUCUCCCCUGCCCCUUUUCCCUGUUGCACCUCUGCAGUGUCCUGAGGGUUGAUGGAAUCUAGUUUGAAAGCUAUUGCUCUACCUCACUGCCUCCUGAAUGCAAUGUCACAAAUUUUCCCAACUUGCCAUUUCUCUCACACUGACAUAAAGCAUUAGAAACCUGUUGUGAAGUAGGAAAGCUAACUGGGUCAGUAGCUGAUAAGAUAAUCUGGCCUAGGGGAUAGAUGAUUAGGAUUUCAGAGAAGGAAAGGUCACCCAAUUGAUUUGACUCUGUCCUGGGGCGAUGAUAUGGUGAAGAUUUCUACAGAUGCAGCAGAAACAUCCGGAAACCAGGUGUGUCCCAGCUCUGGUCUGGGAACCAUUUCAUAAAUUGGCAAAUAUCCAGGAUAUACACAUGGCUAAUUCUGAGGUGUACUGAAGUUUCAAUAAAGCUACUUUGGUAAUGACUAGGAGAAGAAAAUCCUAUGGCUGGACUUCAUUAAUGUUGUAUGGCCAAGGACAGUGUUUCUCUAAUUAUGGCCUGUGAACCUCCCUGGAUCUCGAUCACCUGCAUAUUUGGGAAUAUGCAGGUUCCAGGGUCCCACCUGAAACUACAGAAUCAGUAUUGAGAUCCCAGGUGAUUCUCAUGUACACUCAAGUGUAAGAUUAUUAGCACCUGGACUUUGGAAGCAGCCAGAUAAAAGUUUGGAUCCUGGGUUGGCUACUUCCUAGAUGUGGCCAAGUCAUUUUACUUGCCAUGCUUUUGCUUUUCUUGUCUGUAAAGUGGACAUGAUACCUAUUUUACAGGGUGGUUUUGAGGAAUAAGGUCAGCAUUAAACAUUUAUCCUCUUUAGGGAGACAGAGAGAGGAGAUGAAAUAGAGUAGAAUUGAGAAAAGCAGUUUCUUAGACCUCCCUGUGAAGUUUUUCUUAUUUCAACAAAUAAUAAAAUAAAAAAUUCAUACACUUUCUUAGUGCUUGUUUGGACUUAAGAAUUUAAAAAUAACUUGAGAGUUUUAUAGGCAUCAAGGAUGAUGUCUGAGUGCUGGAAAUACUUGACCUUUGGCUGGAAGGUGGAGUGAAGGUGCCAGCGGACUGAACCCUGGGAGACUGUCUUCUGUUUUAUGAAUGUGGUCAUGCUCUGAGUUAAAUGAUGUCCCUGGUAAGGACAUCUCCCAGAAAAGCUUAGAAAUCAGCUGUAAUCCUUGUUCCCUGCAAGACCCUUGACUUGGAUGUUAAGAGUUCCCUAUAAUGAUAAUAGCUACCUUUACUGAGCACUACUUGUUAGCCAGGCAUUGUGCUAAGUGCUUUAUGUGCAUUAUGUUAUGCAAUCCUGCAAAUACCGUUACGGGGCAGGUAAUAUUAUUAAUGCUAUUUUAACAAUGACAAAAGUAACUCACUGAUUAGGACUCUGAGUAGUAUCCAUACCACUGUAAGGAUAACAAAGAGCAAAGGCAGAUUAGGUCCGGCUCUGCUGUUUGUUGGGUGUUUUACUUAGAUUUAACCCCUAGACAAGUCUGAGUCUUGAUAUGGUCUUGCCUAUUACUCUACUUCUUUCUCUGCUGUGCACAGAUGGAGACUGGCAUCUGUAUUAAUACCAGGUUGUGUGCUUAAAGUCCAAUGAAUAGCAUUUUUUUUUUUUUUUGAGAUGGAGUCUCAUUCUGUUGCCCCGGCUGGAGUGCAGUGGUGCGAUCUCUGCUCACUGCAACCUCCGCCUCCCAGGUUCAAGCAAUUCUCCCACGUCAGCCUCCUGAGUAGCUGGGAUUACAGGGGUAUGCCACCAUGCCUGGCUAAUUUUUGCAUUUUUAGUAGAGAUGGGGUUUCACCAUGUUGGCUAGGCUGGUCUCGAACUCCUGACCUCAGGCGAUCCACCUGCCUUGGUCUCCCAAAGAGCUGGGAUUACAGGCGUGAGCCACUGCACUGAGCCCAGUGAAUAGCAUUUAAUAAAUGUUUGUAAAUGCUCUGAAUGUACUAUGAUAAUACAACAAAGUUGUACACAUAAGAUUAUCAUAGCAAAAAAUGGAGAGUAACCUUGGUUACUUCUAUAUAGUUAUUUAAUUUUAAUUUUUUUUUUUGAGAUGGAGCCUUGCUCUGUCACCCAGGCUGGAGUAUAGUGGCGUGAUCUUGGCUCACUGCAACCUCCACCUCCUAGCCUCCUAGGUUCAAGCGAUUCUCCUGCUUCAGCCUCCUGAGUAGCUGGGACUACAGAUAUAUACUACCAUGCCCCUUUAAUUUUUGUAUUUUUGGUAGAGAUGAAGUUUCACCAUUUUGGCCAGGCUGGUCUUGAACUCCUGACCUCAAGUGAUCAGCUCACGUCUGCCUCCCAAAGUGCUGGGAUUACAGGUGUCAGCCACCGUGCCAGGCCAAUUUUUUUUUUUUUUUAGAGACAGAGUCUUGCCUUGUCAGCCAGGUUGGAGUGUAGUGGUAUGAUCACAGCUUAUUGCAACCUCGAACUCUUGGGCUCAAGUGAUCCUCCAGCCUCAGCCUCCCGAGUAGCUAUGGCUACAGGUGCAUACAAUCAAAUGCCUGGCUAAUUAAAAACAUUUUUUUUUCUGUAGAGAUAGUUUCUCGCUAUGUUGUCCAGGCUGGUCUUGAAAUCCUGGCCUCAAGCAAUCCUCCUGCUUCAGCGUGGGAUUACAAGCAUGAGCCACUGUGCCCAGCCUAUACAGCCAUUUAAAAUGAUUGUAUAGCUCUAUAAUAAAUGAAUAACAUACAUACCAUAAUAAAAGAAUAAAGCAGGAUAUGAAGUAGCAUGAUUAAUGGAAUCUCAUUUUUGAAAAUCAAAUAUGUUUAUAUGUACAUAGAAAAAAUAUGGAAGGAUCUACCCCAUAAUGUUAGUUGAGCUCUGAAUGGUAGAUUUAGGAUUUUUUUUUUUUUUUUUUUUUUUUGAGACAGUCUCACUCUGUCACCCAGGCUGGAGUGCAGUGGCGUGGUCUCAGCUCACUGCAACCUCUGCCUCCCGGGUUCAGGUGAUUCUCUUGCCUCAGCCUCUGGAAUAGCUGGGAUUACAGGUGCCCGCCACCACACCUGGCUAAUUUUUGUAUUUUUAGUAGAGACGGGGUUUCUCUAUGUUGGCCAGGCUGGUUUUGAACGGCUGACCUUGUGAUCCGCCUGCCUCAGUUUCCCAAAGUGCUAGGAUUACAGGUGUGAGCCACCAUGCCCUACGAUUUAGGAUGUUUUUUGACUCUGAAAAAGAAAAAUUGUCUGAUUUUUCUUUUUCUGUUUUUAUUUUUACAGUGAGCUGAACACACAUCAUUUUUAUAACUGGGAAAAAUGUGCCACUAUUAUUUUGAAAAUUAAAUUCCUUGGAAAUAAAAAGCUAAACAUUCUACCAUCUUCCAUGUUAUUGUGGGUUUGUAUUUGCUUCUCUAAGAGAGUGAUUAGGAGAUGCUCUGAAGACUCUCAGCACACCAAAAGGAUAGCUAUUCUAAACAUUCCUUUUAGCACCUUCACAUACAUUCAAUGCAUUCCUCAAUGUAUCACCCAAUGCAUUCUUGUUGAAUAAGUGAAUGAGCAUUGAGAAGAAAAUCUGUGAUCAAUAUGCAAAGUGUUGCAAAAGAAGAACACUUUCAUAAGGAUGAGAAGUCAUAACAAUAGAAAAUAAUAACUUUCAAUUUCUUUUUCUUAGAUUCCUGGUAGCUGGAUUAAUUUGUGUUCAAAGUGAUUCACUGAGUCUAGUGAGAUCCUAGAACAAGGUUGGGGCUGUUUAAGUCACUCUAAGAGCUCCCUCCAGACAUUUCUGUCAGCCUGUCUACACCAUAUCUCUUUUCAUUAUUCUUGUUGCCUUUGGUGGCUGUCACAGACAGGAGAGCCAAAUAAUGCUCCUAGCAGCACAUAUCAUUUCUGCUUUGUCCAUCUCUUGCUCACUAUAAUAGGACAUUCUUCUUCCACAGAUAGAACAGAUUUCUGGUUCUUAGAAAGGCUUCCCAACCUCUGCCCAGGCGUUCAUUUUAUUUGUGAUUCAGAGAAUGGCUCUUGGCCAACACAAGAGAAUGCCAAUUCAGGGACUACUGUGGUUUGAAUGUCCCCUCUGAAACUCAUGUUGAAAUCUAAUUGCCAUUGUAAUAGUAUUAACAGUGGGACCUUUAAAAGGUGCUUAGGUCAUGAGGGGUCAUGAUGGAUUAAUGCUGUUGUCACUGGGAGUGGGGUCCCAAUAAAGGGAUGAAAUUUGGCCUGAUUUCCUGUCUCACACAUGAUAAAGGGAUGAUAUUCAGCCUGCUUUCCAGUCUCGCACGCCUGCUUGCCCUUCCGCCAUGUUAUGAUGCAGCCAGAAGGCCCUCACCAGAAGCAGCCCCUCAGCCUUGGACUUCCCAGCUUCCAGAACUGCACGAGGCUGGGGAGCUGGGGCGCUGCUGGUGGGCUUCAUGGUGCUGUGGUUCUGUCUAUUCUCAUCAGCCUGUGAGGCAAGAAAGUAUUGGCAGCACCUCACAGGCCUUGUCCUCUUCAUAGCCCCCUCCCGGGAGCCACAUCAGUCUCCAUUUCAG
rnacentral:lncRNA from 10 species